AACGAACGCUGGCGGCAGGCUUAACACAUGCAAGUCGAACGCACUCUUCGGAGUGAGUGGCAGACGGGUGAGUAACGCGUGGGAACGUACCUUUCGGUUCGGAAUAACCCAGGGAAACUUGGGCUAAUACCGGAUGCGCCGGAAAUGGGAAAGAUUUAUCGCCGAAAGAUCGGCCCGCGUCGGAUUAGCUAGUUGGUGGGGUAAAGGCCUACCAAGGCGACGAUCCGUAGCUGGUCUGAGAGGAUGANCAGCCACACUGGGACUGAGACACGGCCCAGACUCCUACGGGAGGCAGCAGUGGGGAAUAUUGGACAAUGGGCGAAAGCCUGAUCCAGCCAUGCCGCGUGAGUGAAGAAGGCCUUAGGGUUGUAAAGCUCUUUCAGCGGGGACGAUAAUGACGGUACCCGCAGAAGAAGCCCCGGCUAACUUCGUGCCAG
rnacentral:rRNA from 1 species